ensembl:lncRNA
GACUCGGUUCAAUUAAUGUAAUUACUCUGUUGUCAUAUUCCAGAGAGGACUUCAGAAGAGAGAUUGCUGUAAUAAGAGACAGGAGCAGCUUGAAACAAGUUAACUGCACUGAAACGUGACCUUUUAGGCAGCUGGAACCAUAUUUCGAUUUGUCGUUUUGGAUAGAGGAUCUUGGGGCAAGUUCCAGCCUGCCACACUCAUACUGAUCUUGAUUCAGCUCCAGGUGCCUAGAUCAUAAUCAAAAUGAUGCUAUGAUGUCUACAAAACUGGUCUCAGGUCAUAAUAACAUAACAUCAGUCUACCUGGUAUUUUAGCCAAACCUAAACCUAGUUCAAACAGACCGUACUGAGAAAGAACUAACAGUCAACUGUAUCAGUUAUAAAAGCAAUCCAAAGUAAUAUCCCACUUUUGUUGACACUAGCCAUUGGUUUCAUUCUAUUGUUUAAAGGACAGUGAAAAAACUGCUUGCAAAUGAGGUAAUGGUGACCUUUGACCUCCCACAGAGUGCUUUGAAUAGCCCUGUCAACCUCCAUUCACUUCAGCUAGACAAACUGCUUCCCAUGGCAAGAAUCGUGGGAGAACCAAUCUAUAUUCUAAAAAUAAAUUAGGCCUAAUUCUGAGAUUCGGAGAAGAAUCUGCUUAAAGAUGGGAGGUUGAGCAGCUGGCUGUCUGGUGCAGUCUUAACAACCUGGAGCUCA